rnacentral:rRNA from 1 species
AGGGAGUGCUACCGGGCGACCGGAUGCGGAUCUCGAAAGCCUGUCCCAGUUCGGACUGGAGUCUGCAACCCGACUCCACGAAGUUGGAUUCGCUAGUAAUCGCGCAUCAGCCAUGGCGCGGUGAAUACGUUCCCGGGCCUUGUACACACCGCCCGUCAAGCCAUGGGAGCCGGGGGCGCCUGAAGUCCGGGACCGCGAGGACCGGCCUAGGGCGAAACUGGUAACUGGGGCUAAGUCGUAACAAGGUAUC